GAUCAUGGCUCAGGACGGACGCUGGCGGCGUGCCUAACACAUGCAAGUCGAGCGGGGAUUAUCGAAUGAAGUUUUCGGAUGGAUUUUGGUAAUUCUAGCGGCGGACGGGUGAGUAACGCGUGAGCAACCUGCCUUUCACACGGGAGUAACGCAUCGAAAGGGUAGGCACUAAUACCGCAUGAGACCACGCUCCCGACCAUGAGAGAGGGGUCGAAGGAAGCAAUCCGGUGAGAGAUGGGCGUCG
rnacentral:rRNA from 1 species